rnacentral:lncRNA from 1 species
GUCGAGCCUAGUGAUUCUAGGGUUCCAGUAUCUAACUCAGAUUGUCUACACUCCUACUCGCCAAACAACUUCCAGACAGCAGAGGGUUUUUCCUAACGGGUCCAAGGGAUAAAAUCUGCCAGCAUUUGGGUGCGCUUCACUGACUUAUGGAAUGUUCACUACCAAGUUUUCUGAUGAGUUUACCGAUGAUUCUGUAACCCUCCCUUUGAAAUGCCUUCUGAGGAAGGUGCCUUGGGAGAAGUUCGUAUAAAAAGGUUAUGUUGAAGGUGACCACAGAUGGCAUCUAGAUGCACAGAGGGGAUAAUUUGGCCAAGAACAGUGUGAGCCUCACCCCCUCUAACAGGCUUAAGUAAUGGCGAUAGUGGCAUUCAAGAUGGUCCUUCACCACUUCUACCUGAAACCUGAGUCCAUACCAGCAACCUGUACACAGCAUCCAGU